rnacentral:rRNA from 1 species
AUGACGUCAAAUCAUCAUGCCCCUUAUGACCUGGGCUACACACGUGCUACAAUGGCGUAAACAAAGAGAAGCGAGCCCGCGAGGGGGAGCAAAUCUCAAAAAUAACGUCUCAGUUCGGAUUGUAGUCUGCAACUCGACUACAUGAAGCUGGAAUCGCUAGUAAUCGCGAAUCAGAAUGUCGCGGUGAAUACGUUCCCGGGUCUUGUACACACCGCCCGUCACACCAUGGGAGUCGGUAACGCCCGAAGUCAGUGACCCAACCGCAAGGAGGGAGCUGCCGAAGGUAGGAUCUGAUAACUGGGGUGAAGUCGUAACAA